rnacentral:rRNA from 1 species
GAUGAACGCUAGCGGGAGGCUUAACACAUGCAAGUCGAGGGGCAUCACGAGGUAGCAAUACUUUGGUGGCGACCGGCGCACGGGUGAGUAACACGUAUGCAACCUUCCCUGUACAGGGGGAUAACCCGGAGAAAUUCGGACUAAUACCCAUGAUAGAUAUUUAUGGGCAUCCAUUAAUAUUUAAAGCUCUGGCGGUACAGGAUGGGCAUGCGCGACAUUAGCUAGUUGGUAAGGUAACGGCUUACCAAGGCCACGAUGUUUAGGGACCUGAGAGGGUUGUCCCCACACUGGUACUGAGACACGGACCAGACUCCUACGGGAGGCAGCAGUGAGGAAUAUUGGUCAAUGGGCGCAAGCCUGAACCAGCCAUCCCGCGUGAAGGAAGAAUGCGCUACGCGUUAGUAAACUUCUUUUCCAGGGGGAAAUAAUCCGUGUCGUGACUAGGGACUUGGACCGGUACUCUGGGAAUAAGCAUUCCGGCUAACUCCGUGCCCAGCCAGCCGCGGUAAU